rnacentral:rRNA from 1 species
UACGUAGGGUGCGGAGCGUUGUUCGGAAUUACUGGGCGUAAAGGGCUCGUAGGCGGCCAACUAAGUCGGAUGUGAAAUCCCCAGGCUUAACCUGGGAACUGCAUCCGAUACUGGAUGGCUUGAAUCCGGGAGAGGGAUGCAGAAUUCCAGGUGUAGGCGGUGAAAUGCGUAGAUAUACUGGAGGAAUACCGGUGGCGAAGGCGGGUCUCUGGGCCGAUACUGACGCUGAGGAGCGAAAGCGUGG